GAUGAACGCUGGCGGCGUGCCUAAUACAUGCAAGUCGAGCGAACGGACGAGAAGCUUGCUUCUCUGAUGUUAGCGGCGGACGGGUGAUUAACACGUGGAUAACCUACCUAUAAGACUGGGAUAACUUCGUGAAACCGGAGCUAAUACCGGAUGAUAUUUUGAACCGCAUGGUUCAAAAGUGAAAGACGGUCUUGCUGUCACUUAUAGAUGGAUCCGCGCUGCAUUAGCUAGUUGGUAAGGUAACGGCUUACCAAGGCAACGAUGCAUAUCCGACCUGAGAGGGUGAUCGGCCACACGGGAACGGAGACACGGUCCAGACGACUACGGGAGGCAGCAGUAGGGAAUCUUCCGCAAUGGGCGAAAGCCUGACGGAGCAACGCGGCGUGAGUGAUGAAGGUCUUCGGAUCGUAAAACUCUGUUAUUAGGGAAGAACAUAUGUGUAAGUAAAUGUGCACAUAUUGACGGUAACUAAUCAGAAAGCAACGGCUAACUACGUG
rnacentral:rRNA from 1 species